AAGAAACCUCUGUGGAAUCUCCAAGGGCACAGAAUGUUCCCAUUUCUUACUCUGCGGGAACAGAUGAGACUACAAAUUAUUUUGCCAAAAAUAUAUUUAAGAGCUGGUUAACAUUGUUGCGUUCACCUUCACCGAAUCAAGUUACAAAUCAAACUGUGGAAGAGCCAUAUACCAUGGAAACUUCAGAAACACAAAAGAUGAUACAAGAGAAAGAAAGAGUUCAUGUCUUGAAGGCUGUCUGGUGCUUCUUUCUGAGUUUGGAUGCAACAAUAAAGAUACCUGUAUUGACAUUUGUUCCCCUGUAUCUUGCUGUUACUUUAGUAUAUGGAGCGGAAGUAUCUAAAGAAUUGACCCCUCUGUGGAUUCUUGGACCAUUGAUUGUUGCUUUGUAUGUUAAGAUGCUACGGGGCAUUUGUGCACUCUAUGUAUUCAGCUUCAAGCAGACGGUUAAUGUGGUCAAGAACUUGCCUACGUAUUCCUUGUUAGCUUAUGACUAUAUUGUUCGUGGGAAGCUUAAAGAAUAUAUUAGAAUGCGUUUACUGCAACCGUUCAUAGAUAUAAAGAACUUGGACUACAAAGAGGCAGCAAAAAGAAAGGCAAAGGAUAUAGAAGUGUACUUGGUGGAGAAGUACCUGGACUUUGUUGAAUCGAUAUGGCCAUAUUACUGCAGGACCAUCAGGUUUCUGAAGAGGGCAAAUUUAAUCUAGGUCUAAAACUAUUAUAAUUUUGCACAAUAUUCUGUCAACGGAAAAGCACAUUCAAAUGCGGAAUAUUUUUUUGUUUAGUCUUCUCCUUUACUUCUUUUUGUAUAAUUUUUUGUAAGCAGU
rnacentral:misc_RNA from 1 species